GUUGAUGCGGGGUCGUGGGGCGUAGGAUUGCGUAGGGUGGAAGCUGUAUGCGGAUUUAUGGUGGUUAAAGGGUGCGGAGGCGGGCGUGUAAGUAUGUGUGGAAAUCGCACAGGUUAACUGUGAAACUGACGUUGAUACUGCAGGUCUUGAGGAAAUUUGAAGUUGCGGGAAUAAGUAGUGUAGCGGUGAAAUGCAUAGAUAUUACGGAGAACACCAAUUGCGAAGGCAGGUCACUAAGAUUUAACUGACGCUGAGGGACGAAAGCGUGGGGAGCGAACAGGAUUAGAUACCCCAGUAGUC
rnacentral:rRNA from 1 species